AUGACUUUUGGGGAACAGAGGUCGGCCCGUAACGCUGCCUUUCUCACACGACUGAAGAGCCGCACUCAGAGCCCCCAGUUCCCCUGUCCUUGCCCCUCCCCCAACUUUGCUGCUUCCCCAGUUUGGGACCCACAGGACGGGGGCACCAGGAGUGGAGAAGUGGGGUCGCUGAUAUUCAGGCUCUGCUCUGCGGCUGUCACUUUGGGUCUUAGCGGCUCCUGUGCUCUGGGCACCCGAGGUGGCUGGGUCAUGGAUCCUGUGCAUCCUGGCCCCCAUCUCAUCCCAGAGCAGAGGAUCCCCCCGCCCUCGUGGAUCACCCACUCCGGUCUUAGUGAGCACCUCCCUCGAGCUUCAUCUCCUCACAUCCCCACAUCCUGCAGAAAUCGCCCCACGGUUCUGUCCACAGCCCUGCUUCUGGCUGCUGAUGUGAUGGGAAGUAAGACCCCCUCCUGUGGGAGCCUCCUCCCUGGGGGGGGCCCCCUACAUGGUGUCUGUCGAAGGUGGGGGAGCCUCACCCUGACUCCUCCUGAAAUCCCACCAGGCCUCCUGUCUCACAGCCAUCUAGGACCUGGGUUCUCACUCCAUUGGGAUUAUUGCCUGUCUGUGGACACGGCUUUUUCCAGCACAAAGCGCCUAUGCAGACGGCUGUUCAUCCGUGUGGCUCGUGCCGCAGGGACAGGUGCAGACAAGCCCUUUUCCAGGCCCGGGUGGGGUGACGGGCCGCCCCUGGGCCCAGGCCUCCUGGUCCCCCUGGCAGGGCCGGCCCCAGAGGCGAGGUCAGCAAGGCUCCAGACACAACCUCCCCUUGGGAGUGGGAUCUCCAGUCGAGCACAAGGGGACUCGAGUGAAGAAUGGACAUCUUCCCACAUGCUCCACAGCAACACGGGCUCAGCACUGGGCUGCGAGGGGCUGAGGGGCCGUGGAAACACUUCGAGACUGAACAUUCCCUAUGUGACCGUGCGGGGAGACGGGAGGGUCCCCGGCAGACACCCGGGAAGCAUGCAGGCGGUGGCGAGAGACCCCAGGUGGGAGGUACACAGAGUC
rnacentral:lncRNA from 1 species